rnacentral:rRNA from 1 species
AUGAAUUCGGUGAGACCGAGUAGGAGUGAGUUGGUCUGGCCGAGAUGCAUUAAGAGGUUUUGGAAGUUGAGCCCUUGA